rnacentral:lncRNA from 1 species
UGCUGCUUCCCAGGGCCCCAGGGCUACAGAGCUCCGUGUUUCCUCUGCGUAUAACCCGGCUUAACACACAUGCUGAUUGCUACAAACUCAGAGGCCUCAAACAACACACCGUCACUGCAGUCCGUGGAUUAGGGGUCCAGGUGCAGCUCAGACAGAUUUUUCUGAGACUGCAGGGAGAAGGACACAUGGACUUCAUUGUUUUUCAAGGCUCAGAGUCCUCCUUCCAGUGUAACGGGUGUCAGAAUUCAGUGGCCAAGUUACCAAGGCAACUCUCAGUUUCCAGAGGAUGCCCGAGUACAGCUCUUGGGUAGCUUCUUGGAAAAAGCACUGUGAGACCUUCUCUCUCCCAAAUAAAUCAAGAUAGUCAAAAGGCA